GCGAAUUUUCUUUAUUCAAGAAGGUGGAUAUAAAAUGUGUCAUUUGUGAUAAAGCGUACUGCGCUGUGAUAUCCAGGGUUUAACCGCUUAGAGAUGUUGAUGACAAUAUUGAACACAGUGAGAGUUGGAAAGCAUCAAAGGCAGAUGGGAAAUGAGUUACAGUUAUGGAGACAAGACGCGUAAAAGUGAAUAAAAUCUUAGUUUCAAGUCAUUUUUUAACUAGUAGAGUAACUACAAACUUCAGAAAUUACAACUCAAACGGAUAAAUUAGCAUCAGCAAGUUGUGCAGUACUCUUUCUGUAGAGUCUGUACUGAGUUUGCAUGUUUUUUCCAAGACAGUGUGUAUUUCCUAUAGGUGCUCAGGUUUCCCCCUACAGCUAAGUAUUACUUGACUCUAAGUCAUAUAGUAUGACUGAGGCGUUACUUGUCCACAAUGUGAAUGUGAGCUUGAAUUGUUGUCUGCUGGGAUUGGCCUCAGGCAUACAUGAAAUGCAUCACAUCUUCAACACCAAACAGCCUCUCCAAGAAUUUGUGAAGAAGAUAGAAAAAUGCAGACAACUGACACAUAUUUAACCAAUCUCACCAGUUCAUCUGGCCACGUUAAAUUAUGUCAUUCUGAUUAUUAAGUGUAGUUAUAUAAGUAUUGUAAUGUAUACAAUGUGUAAAUAGCUCCAUCUUUUCUCUAAAGUAAAAUCUAUGCAUGGUCUCAUCAGUCACUAUCUACAACUGUCAGUGUUGGAGACAUAUAGUGAAACAAGUAGAACUACAUUUUCCAAAAUUGUGUGGGUAGCCACUGAAAUAGGGCUAAAAUAAAUAACCUUUCAUUAUACUCACGAAAUCUUUCUCUCUUUCUUUCUCUGUGGGGAGAGACGGUGGAAUUUUGCUGGCAAUGUUCUUGUAGGUUUCUGUUUCGUCACUUGGCCCACCCACCCUGUGAAACUGUCUAGUAUCCUGGGUUGUGAGUCGGCCUGCUCUGACCCUCCGCUCAUGUGUUAAACUCCAUUAGUUAGUGUUGGUUUGUAAGUUGUCUGCUCACAACAUGGCGGUUCCUGUCGCCCAUUGUCACACAUUUCCUGUACGUCAUUUCCAGGAAAGAAACAUCCGUUAUCACACUUAUGUACUCAUCAAGCCUUUAUGGUCUGAAGUGAACUCUCCAGCUCCGGGUGGAGUGGCUCAGCUGGGUGUAUUUGCUAUGAAUAUCAGUGGCUCUGUGCAGCAUUGGUGUUAAAUAUGUUAAUAUAUAUCGAUGUGCGCACACCUCUCCAAAAGCGCAAGCUAGUCUUCUUUAGUGUGUAACACAUAUUCUCCCGACAGUAGAAGUGCCAAAAUAUAUAAAAAAAUAAUGUUUCCGUUUGAGACUGUAUUGGGUUAGAUUAGGGGCUUGCCAGUAUCUGUCCUCACAGCUGCCUACAGGAUGUAUGAUAGCCAUCUUAAGUUCACAGCCCCCUAAAGGAGAGGAAGCAGCAGGGCCGUUCUGGCGUUCUAUCUCUUGGAGGAAGCAUUUUCAAAGAAGAAACAGGAUUGUAACUUGUUUUGCUUAAAUCUGAUUGUAGUGGACUUUUUUUGACUCGAUUUUCCAAUCUAGGCUUUAUUUGAGAGACCCAAUGAUAAACAUAUUCAUGAACAAAAGGUAAGUUUCCUUCUGUUUCCAGCUCAACAGAUCCUCUUUCCACAGGUUCUCCUUCCCUAGGUUCUUUUUCCACAGGAUCUUUUUCCACAGAUUCCAGUUGGGAAGGUGUGUCAAUUCCAGUAGGUAUGUCAAUUCCAGUAGUUGUGUCAAUUCCAUUGAGUGUGUAAAUUUCAAAAGAUGUCUUCUUCUGUGACUCGGAUAUGUUUGAGGCUCCAGAAGGUCGUCUCAGUAAUUUUAACUGAAUGAAAACAUUGCUCAUCUUCCUCCUCAUCCUCGGAUGAUGAAGGCAGUUCACUGACUUGAUUUGAUGUUUGCCUUGUUCUAGGCCUACGAGUUGAUUUUGGCUGAACUAUUUCCUCUUCUGGUUCGGAGAGAAACCCACAUGGCAAUAGAAGGUCACGAUGUAAUGUACGUAAGGGACCAUCUUGGCCUUCAGGGCACACUGUAUAAACAGGUAGGUCUCCAGCCCUCUUCUGCACUACAUAAACUGUCGGUUCCCAUCGAUCAGCUAAUUUGUGCUUGUUGCGAAGGCGAAGAUUUCGCACCAGGACUCUUUCUCCUGUUUCAAGUGUGGCCUCUCUCACUCUGGCAUCAAAUCUUUUCUUGUUUUUGUCAGCUACUCUCUUUGAGUUUUCCAUAGCAAGCUGAUCCUUGAAGCUUUCCUUCAAGUGACUCUUUAGACUUUUCACAUAUUGCGAAUGUGAAGUAGACGAACUGUCUUUAACUGGUAACCCAAACGCGAUGUCAAUGGGCAACGUGGGCUGGCGUCCGAACAUGAGUUCGUAGGGUGAAAACCCUGUGACAUCGUUCUUCGUACAAUCGUACGCAUGCGUAAGGGGUUUUACAUGUUCACGCCACCAUGUCUUCUCCUUAACCUGCAGAGUUCCCAGCAUGCUUAGCAAUGUACGAAUAAAGCGUUCUACUGGGUUCCCCCUAGGAUGAUAUGGACUUGUUCUUACUUUACGGAUGCCGGCUAAAGCACAGAGCUCUUUAAUGAUCUGCGACUCAAAAUCACGUCCCUGGUCGCUGUGGAGGCGUUCUGGGAACCCAUAAUGGCUGAGGAACUGCUCCCACAAACAUUUGGCGACUGUGCUGGCUUCCUGAUCCUUUGCUGGUAUAGCAACAGCAUAUUUCGUAAAGUGAUCCGUUAUAACUAGGAAGUCUUUGGUGUUAUGACUAUCUGGUUCUAAUGACAAAACGUCCAUACAAACCAGUUCCAAAGGCCUGCUGGUUUGGAUAUUGACAAGGGGUGCAGCCUUUUCUGGCUGACUUUUUCUCAUUACACAUCUCUCACACUGUUUGAUUUUUGUCUCAAUAUCAAAUGCCAUCCUUGGCCAAUAGAACCUGGAUCUGGCCAGCUCAAGUGUGCAUUCAACUCCCAUGUGCCCCAUUUCGUCGUGAAGACUGGUGAGCACGGAUGGCUUUAGUACAUUCGGUAGGACGAGCUGACAGACUGGUUUACUGUUGCACUGCCUUCUCCUGUAUAAUAGGCCAUUCUUCAGUUCAAGACGGCUCAUCUCUCUGAAAAUCAGCCGACUUUCAGGGGAUUCAGACUUUAGGCUGGCAAGUGCAAGUUCUCCUGACUCAAUCAGCUCAAUGACUUGGCUGAUGACAGGGUCUGUUCUUUGCAGUUUGGCUAGUUCAUCUUUACUGUACCUGGGAACUGUGAGCAGACCGUCUUGGACUCCCUCCUCCUCAAACUCGGCAGGAAUGGCCUCCGGGUGGAUAGCAAGGGACUCUACGAGGCAAGGAGAGGACUGACCGUCGUUGACCAACUCACCGUGAGGCCUCCUGGACAAAGCGUCGGCAUCUUGAUUCUGCUUUCCGGCUCGGUAUGUGAUGUCAAACGUAAAGGUGGAUAAUUCAGUUAACCAGCGGUAGCUGGCAGCAUCCAGCUUGGCAGUAGUGAGUAUAUACCUCAACGUGUUGUCAUCUGUGACUACUGUAAAGGCGUUGCCAUAGAGGUAGUCGUCGAAUUUGUCAGUGAUAGCCCACUUGAGGACUAAAAAUUCCAACUUGUGUGCCGGGUAUUUAGCCUCACAGCACGAUAAGCCUCUACUUGCGUAGGCGAUAACACAAGUUUGUCCAUCCUGAACUUGAUAUAAUGCAGCGCCAAGCCCAGUCGUGCUGGCAUCUGCAUGGAGGACGUAUGGCAGCUUGGUGUUGGCGUCCAUCUCUCAGCAAAUGGCUCCUUGGGGUGGAAAUAUUUGCUGUCGAUUUUGGUCUGCUUGCGCCCUUUUUGAAUUGUCGGGUAACCAGCAGUUAAACUGUUUAAGGGCUUCACGAUCCUGGCGUAAUCUUGCACAAAUCUCCAGUAAUACCCGGAGAACCCAAGAAAAGACUUGAGCUCCUUCAGGGUUCUAGGCGUCGGCCAGGUCUUAAGGGCCUUGACUUUCUCCGGAUCGGUUUCAAUGCCGUCUCUAGACACAAUGUGCCCCAAAUAGCGCACUGACGUUUGAAAAACCGGCACUUUUCUGGUGACAAUUUGAGGCCAUGUUCUCUCAGUCGGUUUAAAACUUUUAGCAAGUGAGCUUCAUGCUCCUCCAAGGAGUCGGAAAAGACAAUUAUGUCAUCAAGGAAAACUAGCGCUUCGCGAAGAUGGAUGUCGCCCAUACACUUCUCCAAGCGCUGAAAAGUGGAUGGUGCGUUAGUUAUUCCUUGUGGCAUCCGGUUCCAUUCAUAAAGCCCCAAAGGACAGACGAAAGCAGUUUUUUGCUUGUCGUUCUCUAUCUCGAUUUGGUAGUAGCCGGAUUUCAAAUCCAUCACUGUAAACCACUGAGCCCCAGCGAGCGCAGAAAAUGAUUCCUCCAGGUUAGGUAACGUGUAUGCAUCCCUGAUGGUCUGGAGGUUCAAUUUUCUGUAAUCCACGCACAAUCUGAUGUCACCAUUCUUCUUUCUGACAACGACAAUGGGUGACGAAAAAGGGGACUCAGAUUCUCAAAUGACUCCAGCUUUAAGGAGGGUUUGGAGAUGGCGACGCACUGCUUCGUAGUCUUGUGGGUGUAUAGGGCGUGAUCUCUGCUUGAAAGGUGUUUCAUCCUUCAUUUUGAUAUGAUGCUUUACCUUUGUUGCAUGCCCGAAAUCAAACUCAUGUUGAGCAAAAACAUCAGCGUAGUUACUUAACUCCUGUGUUACCUUUACUUUCCAAUCCUCAGGAACUGGAGAGUUGCAGAAGUUAAACUUCAGCUUUGGACUUGUAUUUAGUUCUUGCUGAGUAGAGAUGCAGGCUGCAUACUGUGGUUUGUCAGGCUGAGGGGAUUCUUCGUUCAGGUAAGUCAGUUCUUUGUUCAGGAUCUUGCAUCAUGCACAAUCUCAUGAGCGACUGUUUAGUUCAGCAAUGACAACAGUUAGUGUCGGCAGUAUUA